rnacentral:hammerhead_ribozyme from 1 species
AUCCAGCUGACGAGUCCCAAAUUGGACGAAACGUGCGUCCUGGAU